rnacentral:lncRNA from 1 species
GGACAAAACUCAAAAGUUAUAUGUGCAGGAAAAUGGAAGAUCCCAUUGUGUCUUUCAAUAUAAGAAAAUGUGUGGGGAUUGCUUGGAAUUACAUAUAUAGGAAUCCAAUCUUGAUCUCUGGGUUUUUUGUUUUAAAAUUCACUUCUUUUGGUCAAUGAGCUUUGUUGUUUUUCCCCCUUUCUUGAUCACAUUCCAUGUCCUCGGG